GACGAACGCUGGCGGCGUGCCUAAUACAUGCAAGUAGAACGCUGAAGGAGGAGCUUGCUUCUCUGGAUGAGUUGCGAACGGGUGAGUAACGCGUAGGUAACCUGCCUGGUAGCGGGGGAUAACUAUUGGAAACGAUAGCUAAUACCGCAUAAUAGUAGAUGUUGCAUGACAUUUGCUUAAAAGGUGCAAUUGCAUCACUACCAGAUGGACCUGCGUUGUAUUAGCUAGUUGGUGAGGUAACGGCUCACCAAGGCGGCGAUACAUAGCCGACCUGAGAGGGUGAUCGGCCACACUGGGACUGAGACACGGCCCAGACUCCUACGGGAGGCAGCAGUAGGGAAUCUUCGGCAAUGGACGGAAGUCUGACCGAGCAACGCCGCGUGAGUGAAGAAGGUUUUCGGAUCGGAAAGCUCUGUUGUAAGAGAAGAACGAGUGUGAGAGUGGAAAGUUCACACUGUGACGGUAUCUUACCAGAAAGGGACGGCUAACUACGUG
rnacentral:rRNA from 1 species